CGCUGUUCCAGUCAGGAGACCCUUCCCACCUGUGUGUCAGGGGGAUCCCAUGUACUACCACAGCCAUGGUAGAGGGGGACUGGCCUCUCCAGGCGAGAGACUCAUCCAACCUGGGUAUCGGUGAAAGCUAGUAAACCACUGCAGCCAGGGUAGACGGGACUCACCCCUUCAGGUGGGAAACCCCUCCCAUCUGGGUAUGGGGGCUGAGGUCCUAUACCACAGUAGCCAGAAUAGAGGGGACUCCUCCUUCUAAGCAGAAGACCACUCCCACCUAGGUGUCUGGGAGCGCUGGUACACCCCAUCAGCCAGGGUAGAUGGAAGUCACCCUCCCACCUGGGUGUCAGGGGAAGCUCCUUAACUGCUGCAGCCAAGGAACAAUAGACCCACCCCUUCAGGCAGAAGACCCCUCCAACUUGGGUGUGAGGUGGAGCUCAUAUACCCCAGCAGCCACCUUCAAGGCAACUCACACCUCCAGGUGAGAAACACCUACCACCUACAACCUGCUAAUAAGAUUAACUCCUAUACUGCUUUGCCAGGGUAGAGGGGACUCGCCCUUCCAUGCGUGAGACCCCCCUCCUGGGAGUAGGAGGGGGCUCUUAUACCUUCACAGCCAGGUUUGAGGAGAGUCACCCAUUCAGGCGCAAGUCUCUUCAAACUGGUUGUGUGUGGGGGAGCUUGUAUACCACGGCAGCAGGGUAGUGGGGACUCACCCUUCCAGGCAAGAGACCCAUUUCACCUGGGUUGCUAAGAGUCAGCCAAGUAUAUGAUGCAUGGCAUUUUUGGUUGAAAGGUGACACCAGAUAGCCAUUGAGAUGAUAUGCUUAUGUUAAGAUUUGCAUUCAUAUGGAU
rnacentral:lncRNA from 1 species